GAUGAACGCUGGCGGCGUGCCUAAUACAUGCAAGUCGAGCGAACGGACGAGAAGCUUGCUUCUCUGAUGUUAGCGGCGGACGGGUGAGUAACACGUGGAUAACCUACCUAUAAGACUGGGAUAACUUCGGGAAACCGGAGCUAAUACCGGAUAAUAUUUUGAACCGCAUGGUUCAACAGUGAAAGACGGUCUUGCUGUCACUUAUAGAUGGAUCCGCGCUGCAUUAGCUAGUUGGUAAGGUAACGGCUUACCAAGGCAACGAUGCAUAGCCGACCUGAGAGGGUGACCGGCCACACUGGAACUGAGACACGGUCCAGACUCCUACGGGAGGCAGCAGUAGGGAAUCUUCCGCAAUGGGCGAAAGCCUGACGGAGCAACGCCGCGUGAGUGAUGAAGGUCUUCGGAUCGUAAAACUCUGUUAUUAGGGAAGAACAUAUGUGUAAGUAACUGUGCACAUCUUGACGGUACCUAAUCAGAAAGCCACGGCUAACUACGUG
rnacentral:rRNA from 1 species